GUCUGCUUUCUCUCUUCUUAUCUUUCAGUUCAACAUGCUGUGUUAUACCUAAAAACAGAGGGUUAUACACAUCCAGAUAAGGAAAUAAGGUUACAAUGGAAGAAAGAUGAGAAGCAGAGUGUAGGCAACAUUCAACUGGUCAAUGAAACUCUCAUAUAUAUUCCACAGGAUGGGGUAUACCAAAUAAACAGUGCUGUGCAAUUGCGCUUUAGAAAAGCUGAUUCUGCCGCAAUUGUAACCAUGUUAUAUAGGAAAAAGAAUGGGGCACCAGACGAAUAUUUUAUAAAAAGGAAAAAAUCCCUACACAAUGUAUCAGAACAUGCUGUAAUACAAACAUCAUUUACACACCAAUUUAAAGCAAAUGAUUCAAUGUAUUUGAUGAUGAACAAGGCAAGAUUCAUCAGCCCCGAUAAAUACUCAAGCUAUUUCACUAUCACCAGUUUCAAUACAAAUGAUCCUCAGUAAAAUGUUAGUGUUGUACUUUAAAUACAGAUAAACUGCUUUCCCAAGAGCUUCUCUUUCACCAUAAAACAUCUUGUGAAUAAAAAAUUCUUUUGCUUUCUUCUAUUCUGUUAUCAGUUUUAAUCAGUGGUUUGUGGUUACAUUGAAGCAUUUCUUUGGAGAUAAUCUUUAUAUCCAAGGUGUCCCUAUUUAACUUAAUAAAAAGAUUAUCUUUUGGUAUUAACACUGCAUGCAUCCCCAACGAUUAACUUUGGAGUUUCAUUUAAUUAUAUCAAGCUCUUUGUCUUUUCUCUAGACCAGUGUUGUUGUCAUACGAUACAAAAUGUGAAGCGGAGAUUGCUGUAAGAGAAGACUAUUCGAACAAUCACAAUCGCUGCAGAGUAUUUUUGUUUAAAUGCACACAAAGCCACUUGUCAGUUUUUACAUGUUUACAUGACAUACCAUUGAUUCACCAUUAUCGUAUAUUUUUUAAUCAUU